GUGCCCGGAACUCAUGAGUAAGGAAAAUAACUGCUCGGUUUGAUCACCGUUAUUUUCAUUAAUUUUUGUAAGGGUUGUAUCAUACAUUAAUAUGCCUACUUUGCAUUUUAAUGUCUUUGGUUUGCCCU